rnacentral:tRNA from 1 species
UUGGUUAAAGCCAAAAUAGAGGCAUAUCACUGUUAAUGAUAGAAGUGAAGUCUUUCUUCUAACCAAG